CUUUUAACCUGUGGGAGAACCCGGCGAGCUAAGCCAAACGGAGGGCGGGAGAGAGGAAGCGGCAGCUGGCGCCUCUCGGCAACUCUAACCCUCUGAUAGAGAUCGCCAAGAUUGGUAUCCAUAGAGCUUGCUGUGGUUUGAAUGUAUCCCCCAAAGUUCAUGUGUUGGAAACUAUUCUUAAUGCAAAAGUGUUAAGAGGUUCCCAUAGAAGAAAUGGUUUCCAGAAUGCAGAAGUGGUCCAUGAUGCCAGAUGUUGCAGAAAGAGCAAAUAAGGAAACAUUUGGAAACCCCUUGGAGGAGAUCUGCCACAUGGCCUCCAGUGAACUGUAGACUCCUGCAUAGCCUUCCAAAGUUCUUCAUUUGGUGAAUAUUAUGAGAAAUGACACGUAUGACUUUCUCCCAAAUACGUGGCUUAAACCCAAAGUACAGUGAAAUCAGAACUGACCACACAGAGUAAUUGGGGCAAGGGAGUUAUUUGUGACACAAAGCCCUCAUCACUUUAUAAAAGUACUUGCUACUGAUUACAUUGAAAACCAGUCUUCCUGAGUAAAACAUGUUUUUUGUUUUGUAUCGUUUUUGUUUUUGUUUUUUUGAGACAGAGUCUCACUCUUUGACCCAGGCUGGAGUGCAGUGGUGCGAACUUGGCUCUCCGCAACCUCUGCCUUCUGGGUUCAAGCGAUUCUCUUGCCUCAGCCUCCUGAGUAGCUGGGAUUACAGGUGCCCGUCACCACGCCAGGCUAAUUUUUUUGUAUUUUUAGUAGAGGCGAGGUUUUGCCAUGUUGGCCAGGUUGAUCUUGAACUCCUGACCUCAGAUGAUCCACAUGCCUGGGCCUCCCAAAGUGCUGGGGUUAGAGGCAUUAAGGGAGGAGACCACCCCUCAUAUUGUCUUAUGCCCAAUUUCUGCCUCCAAAGAAAGAAAAAGUAAAAACUGAAAGGCAGAAAUGAAAUCCACAAGCAGACAGCCCGGUGCCACACCCUGGGCAGAUCGACCCCUGACCUAAUCGGUUAUGUUAUCGAUUACAGACAUUGGAUAGAAAAGCACUGUGAAAAUCCCUAUCCUGUUUUGUUCAGAUCGAAUUACCGGUGCAUGCAGCCCCCAGACACGUACCCUCUGCUUGCUCAAUCGAUCACGACCCUCUCACACGCACCCCCUUAGAGUUGUGAGCCCUUAAAAGGGACAGGAAUUGCUCACUCGGGGAGCUUGGCUCUUGAGACAGGAGUCUUGCCAAUGCCCCCAGCCGAAUAAACCCCUUCCUUCUUUAACUCGGAGUCUGAGGAGUUUUGUCUGCAGCUCAUCCUGCUACAUUUCUUGGUUCCCUGACCAGGAAGCGAGGUGACUGGCACAUGGUCGAGGCAGCUGCUUAGGCAGCUUAAGCAUGCCCUGUGAAACAUCCCUGUGGGGGACUCCGACCAGCCCAGGCAACGCGGAUCCUGAGAACGCUCCCGGGUAGGCAUCUGCCCCUGUGGGAUGCCUCACCAGAGCAGUGUGUGGCAGGCCCCCGUGGAGGACCAACACAGUGGCUGAACACCGGGAAGGAACAGGAUCUUGGAGUCUGGACAUCUAAAACUUGGUAAGACUAGUCUCGAGAACUUGCCCACUCCAUUUGAGUGGAAGCGUGGCCUGAUCACCCAUGACAUGCAUUUAUCAGCACUUUGGUUUUGGUUUUGGUUUUGGUUUUGACUUGGUUUGAAUUGCUUGACAGGACAGGUAUUGGAAACUUGCCCACUCCAUUUGAGUGGACGCGUGGCCUGAUCACCCAUGGUGUGCCUGUACCGGCACUUCGGUUUUUGUUUUUGACUUGACUUGGAUUCCUUGAUACUUUGGUUUUGGUUUUGACCUGUCUUGGAUUUCUGGACACUCUGAUUUUGGUUUUGAUUUUGGUUUGAUGCAAACUGCAAAAGUGUGUGUGUGCCCUUUUUACCUGUUCUUUGUUUUGUGGUGUGCUUGUGGUGUGAGCAUGGUGUUUUGUCUCAAGGAAGCAUAGGUCAGGCACAAAUAAGCCCACCCUACUAGGAACUACGGUGAAAAAUUUCAAAAAAGAGUUUAAGGGAGACUAUGGAGUACGGUGACACCAGGAAAACUUAA
rnacentral:lncRNA from 10 species